UCUCUUUGUACGUAUCUGUGUGUAUGUGUAUGUAUAUAUGUAUAUGUACACACACACACACACACACAUACACACACACACACACACAUAUAU
rnacentral:miRNA from 1 species